rnacentral:lncRNA from 1 species
GAGUUUUCAUUGCUGAAGAGUAAUUUUCAUUUGAAAAUACCAUAUUUACAUCAUAUUAUUAUCAAUCUUUGUAUUAAUACUGUAGUGUAAAAGAGUUGAAAAACAAAAAGAUGUUCAUCAAAUAAAUCAAUAGAUAUAGGAAGAUGUGGUGUGAGUGCCAAUGAGACAACUCUCCAUCCAAGUCACAAUUUAUAAAAGUAAACCAUUAUAGGUCAAGGUACAGUCUUCAACAUGGAGCCUAGGCUCACACCAAACUGCAAGCUAUAAAGGGCCCC